ensembl:lncRNA
GCUGGGGCGGUUACGGUUGGGGCGGUCUCAGCAACAGCUCAGCGUUUCCGGCUGUUCCCACACAUAUCUCACCUCACUAAGUGGACACCGGUGUUUCUUAUUGCCUCCAGUUGGGAAACUUGUCCUUUGAGACUCAGUUCAUUAACCCUCCUCUACUUGUGUACAGUUGGACCUGACUUCAAACAGAAAGUCACCGGAGCCGUCAUUCUGCAAAAACAUCCUUCACCCAAGGCCAGCAAAACCAACCCCAAGAUAGAAAAAAUACAAAGAAAAUUCUUCAGCCUCACAGUGGCCCCAGUGUUGUUCAUGUUCCCCUUGGUGCCCCUGACUAGUCACACUAGAAUCACUGUGCAUUGUGUGUCUAUCUAUAUAUGUUGUUGAUAUUUUCCCACUGAGAUACAGUCUACUGUAUAGACCAGACUGGCCUUGAACUCACAAAGGUGAGUCAUCCUCUGCCUCUUGAAUAUUAGAACUGCAGAAGUGAGCCACCAUGCACAGCUUAGCACUUACCAUCUAGAUGUUAAAAAGUAUAUAACAACUUUGAAUACAAUAUCUCCCCCACCCACAGUUUGUUUGUAUGUUUUUAAGGAUGUUAUCUUGACUAACUCCAAAUUUGCAAUCCUCUUGACUCAGCUUCCCAAAUGCUCAAAUCACAGUCACAAGCCACCAUACUCCUCCCAAGAAAUGGUAUUAACUUGUGAUUGGGGUUCAAAAGCAGCAUCAGAGAAAAUCAAUUGUUUAAACAUUAAAAUGACUCAGAAAAGGCCCUGUGAAUAGUCUAGGAAGCUUUGAGUAGCCUUUUGACAACUGGAAAAAUCUUGAUUGUCUUAUAUCAUUAUCUGUGCCGUGCUGAUAUUUUGUACAUUCUUGUUCUGUUUUCAAAAGCUUCACUGCCUUCUUCUAUCUGCCAUGUCAACUCCAGGACAAAAUCCUUAGGAAUUAGUGACACUGUUUCCUUGCCCCAGCCCCAAUUCCUAUGCAGAGUACCACUGGACAGAGGCAGCCUUCCCCUCUGUGCUUGGCCAUCUGGAGUUGUAGGAGUCACUUAGCAUGUCUCUGAACUGAAUGCAGCUCAGUAGAACAGUGGUUUGAGG